AUGAACGCUGGCGGCGUGCCUCAUACAUGCCAGUCGAGCGAACAGACGAGGAGCUUGCUCCUCUGACGUUAGCGGCGGACGGGUGAGUAACACGUGGAUAACCUACCUAUAAGACUGGGAUAACUUCGGGAAACCGGAGCUAAUACCGGAUAAUAUAUUGAACCGCAUGGCUCAAUAGUGAAAGACGGUUUUGCUGUCACUUAUAGAUGGAUCCGCGCCGCAUUAGCUAGUUGGUAAGGUAACGGCUUACCAAGGCAACGAUGCGUAGCCGACCUGAGAGGGUGAUCGGCCACACUGGAACUGAGACACGGUCCAGACUCCUACGGGAGGCAGCAGUAGGGAAUCUUCCGCAAUGGGCGAAAGCUUGACGGAGCAACGCCGCGUGAGUGAUGAAGGUCUUCGGAUCGUAAAACUCUGUUAUUAGGGAAGAACAAAUGUGUAAGUAACUAUGCACGUCUGGACGGUACCUAAUCAGAAAACCACGGCUAACUACGU
rnacentral:rRNA from 1 species